ACUUACUGCCAAACCACACUGAACACAUCUGAUCUUGGAAGCUGAGCAGAGACGGGCCUGGUUAUGGAUGAGAGACCAUGUGGGAAUACCAGGUGCCAGAAGUU
rnacentral:rRNA from 1 species